UGGGGAAUAUUGCGCAAUGGGCGGAAGCCUGACGCAGCGACGCCGCGUGGGGGAUGACGGCCUUCGGGUUGUAAACCUCUUUCGCCAGGGACGAAGCGUGAGUGACGGUACCUGGAUAAGAAGCACCGGCCAACUACGUGCCAGCAGCCGCGGUAACACGUAGGGUGCGAGCGUUGUCCGGAAUUAUUGGGCGUAAAGAGCUCGUAGGCGGUCUGUCGCGUCGGUCGUGAAAACUUGGGGCUUAACCCUGAGCUUGCGGUCGAUACGGGCAUGACUGGAGUUCGGCAGGGGAGACUGGAAUUCCUGGUGUAGCGGUGAAAUGCGCAGAUAUCAGGAGGAACACCGGUGGCGAAGGCGGGUCUCUGGGCCGAUACUGACGCUGAGGAGCGAAAGCGUGGGGAGCGAACAGGAUUAGAUACCCUGGUAGUCCACGCCGUAAACGGUGGGCGCUAGGUGUGGGGGCCAUUCCACGGUCUCUGUGCCGCAGCUAACGCAUUAAGCGCCCCGCCUGGGGAGUACGGCCGCAAGGCU
rnacentral:rRNA from 1 species